rnacentral:rRNA from 1 species
UGACAAUGGGGGAACCCUGAGUCAGCAACGCAAGAAAAGAGUGAUGAAGGUCUUCGGAUUGAAAACUCUGUCUUUGGGGACGAUAAUGACGGACCCAAGAGGAACCACGGCUAACUACGU